rnacentral:rRNA from 1 species
UACGUAGGGGGCAAGCGUUGUCCGGAAUUAUUGGGCGUAAAGAGCUCGUAGGCGGCCGGUUGCGUCUGCUGUGAAAUCCCGGGGCUUAACCCCGGGCGUGCAGUGGAUACGGGCCGGCUGGAGGCAGGCAGGGGAGAAUGGAAUUCCCGGUGUAGCGGUGAAAUGCGCAGAUAUCGGGAGGAACACCGGUGGCGAAGGCGACUCUUUGGCCUGUAACUGACGCUGAGGCGCGAAAGCGUGGGGAGCAAACAGG